GUGCUCACUUCAGCAGCACAUAUACUAAAAUUGGAACAAUACAGAGAAGAUUAACAUGGCCCCUGCGCAAGAAUGACAUGCAAAUUUGCGAAGCAUUCCGUAUUUUU
ensembl:snRNA U6 U6 spliceosomal RNA